AGCGAACGCUGGCGGCAGGCCUAAUACAUGCAAGUCGAGCGGUCACUUCGGUGGCAGCGGCGGACGGGUGAGUAACGCGUGGGAACGUGCCCUUUGGUUCGGAACAACACAGGGAAACUUGUGCUAAUACCGAAUGUGCCCUUCGGGGGAAAGAUUUAUCGCCAUUGGAGCGGCCCGCGUUGGAUUAGCUAGUUGGUGGGGUAAAGGCCCACCAAGGCGACGAUCCAUAGCUGGUCUGAGAGGAUGAUCAGCCACACUGGGACUGAGACACGGCCCAGACUCCUACGGGAGGCAGCAGUAGGGAAUCUUGCGCAAUGGGCGAAAGCCUGACGCAGCCAUGCCGCGUGAAUGAUGAAGGUCUUAGGAUUGUAAAAUUCUUUCACCGGGGAAGAUAAUGACGGUACCCGGAGAAGAAGCCCCGGCUAACUUCGUGCCAGCCGCCGCCGUAAUAC
rnacentral:rRNA from 1 species